GGCAGACGCUUAAACGCUGUGCCACCCAGGCGCCCCUGAACGACACUCUUGGGGAUGGCUAUCCUCUUCUUCCUUCUCUUGCAUCCUCCCCCUCCAGCUUCGCCAUAGGACAGUCCAGCAACUUCCAGUCUAUGUCUACACCCUGGACAACCGUACGAGCCGGGAACCAUCUGAUAGCAGUCUGGAGGUCCUCGCCCAUGAGCUGAGAAGAUCCACCGACCGGGGAAACCUCUCCCGCGUCCUGGCCCGGGCCGGGGCGGGGGCGGUGUGUUCAUAGGCACGUGAAGCUGGACGCCCAGGCUUCCUGGUAGCAAUUACCCUCCUGCUUCUGCAAGACGGCCUUGAGGGUCACCGGGCUGAACUUUCAGAAGAGCACAGACUUUGCCAGGUUUAAGAGAGACCCCUAUCGUGAGUGCUGAUGCCCAGAUGUCACGGGUGGUGGCGCCGAAGCCUGAAUGCCCCCGCACCCCACCCUCCGAGCCGUGCAUCCCGCACGUGUGACCAAGAAAGACCCAGGCAGACUGCUGGCUGGUUGAUUUCUUUAUUGCUGGAGGAGGGGCUCAGAGCAGGAGACCCCAGGCUGGGACCCGAGGACCCCGGGGCCUGGAGAAGCAGGUCCGGCAGGACCUGGGGCUCGGUCCCUCCUGAUUCCUCUGACGGGGGAAGGAGGGAGCGAUGUCGUCUCUGGGCCCUGAAAUGGACGAGGGCUCCCCUGUGAUUCCCGGGGAACCUGCUGGGCCUUCGCCAGCCCCUCCCAGCCUGGGGGUGAGGGACGGCCUCUCCGCCUCAGGCUGAGUGGUGGUCACCCCACGCCAGCCCCCCAUGUUUGCCCACACCCUUGCCCACAAGAGGCCAUAGGGACAUCCGUGUGGGAGCUUGACCAGGAGGUGGGGAGGACAUCCCAGAAAGGCCAUUGGAGAGGGUGGGCCUAUGGCCAGCCUGGCCCCCGUGGUCACCAGGAGGGACACCAGGUUCCUGCCAUUCCCGCAGAGGGAACAGGGCCUGACGGAGGGGAGCUGGGAGUUCCCUGGGAUGCUCCCACAUGCGUGUGCCCAGGACAUGGGGUCAGGGCUGGUACGUUACCCCAGGAGGCGGUC